UAUAAAAAUAAUAUUUUAAUAAUAAAAAUUAUAAGAAUUCCUAAAUAUUAAUAUAAAGUAUAGUAAUAGAAAUAUUUUUAAACAUUAAAAAGUAAAAAAUAU
rnacentral:rRNA from 1 species